UAACUCCAAGUCUGUAUGACCAGGCAUAUCCGUGGAGGAUCGGUAGUGCGAGGCACACUUAAAACCGACUAUUUCCUUAAUUUCGGACAAUUCUAAGACAUCACACUGAGCUUGGAUGAGCCUAGUUGAACAAUUGAUGAUGAAAAAUCCGCUAUAGGGUAGAAGACUUAACCGGAAACACGUGGGCGAUCCUCCUUGAGGAUGCAGUGCCAAGAGUCACCUUCAAAGGAAGGGACCAAAAUCGGCACAAUAUGCCAUGUUUCUAAGGACGAUGUAAGUGUACAUCUUGAUUGUAAAUUAAUAUGAACCAUAAGAGGAGAAUAGUUUCACUUUGAAAAAUUCUCAAGGCAUUCAUUAUUGCUAAAUGUGAGUACAUCGAGGUCUCAAAUAGACAAAGGACGUCGAUACAACGCCUUAGUACAUAUAACUUGGAACGAAAAUCAAUGUCUAGCCGAUGACAUCAAAGUCAUGGGUAGCUAGAGCAGGAUCCGAAUCUUUGAAAUUCGCGAUCAUGAGGAUGACGUUCUUGUCCUCAUAUUGAUUUUCCAUACCUUUUUGUAUGCAUUCACAAUUUAAAGGAGCUUGACAAUCUUGAACCAGUGAUCCGAAGAUCCACAACGGUUGCAUUAAUGUCAUGAGCUGACGUGAGUAGUUUUGACAAAAUGGUGUCUAGACCGGGAGUGUCGCUAUUAGAGCCGGCAACACCUCCCCCUCUUUUCUAGACAUCGGCACGACGUUUUCUGCCAUUGCCAUGACCCAUAUUGUUGUCCCCACAUUAGGGGAUAAUCCCAAAUAAGUUUAUCAUAUUAGCGUAUAUACAAUUCCUGUUUGUAUGAUGAAAAUCAAGUCUCGUUGGUAAUUCCACACCAACUUGGAGGACCUAGAGAACUUGAUGAUGAUCGAAUCCGCUAAAGAUUAUGGAUCAUGAUGCCACAAAAGAUCAUCGACAAUAUGUAGUCAAUUAAGGUGGUAAGCAAUCCACUUGUCUAAUAACUCAACAAGGAGAGUUAUAUGAACGUUUCGAGAAACGCUCCAUGAGUGCAUUCCACAGUACUUUGUGGUCAUUAC
rnacentral:lncRNA from 1 species